rnacentral:rRNA from 1 species
UACAGAGGGUGCAAGCGUUGUCCGGAUUUAUUGGGCGUAAAGAGCGUGUAGGCGGCCAGGUAGGUCUGGUGUGAAAACUCGAGGCUUAACCUCGAGAUGUCAUCGGAAACCAUCUGGCUAGAGUCCGGAAGAGGAGAGUGGAAUUCCUGGUGUAGCGGUGAAAUGCGCAGAUAUCAGGAAGAACACCAAUGGCGAAAGCAGCUCUCUGGGACGGUACUGACGCUGAGACGCGAAAGCGUGGGGAGCGAACAGG